rnacentral:rRNA from 1 species
UACGUAGGGGCCAAGCGUUGUCCGGAUUUACUGGGCGUAAAGCGUGCGUAGGUGGUGAGUUAAGUCUGUCGUGAAAGCCCCGGGCUCAACCUGGGAAUGGCGAUGGAUACUGGCUCGCUAGAGUGCGGUAGAGGAGAGUGGAAUUCCCGGUGUAGCAGUGAAAUGCGUAGAGAUCGGGAGGAACAUCAGUUGCGAAGGCGGCUCUCUGGACCAGCACUGACACUGAGGCACGAAAGCGUGGGGAGCAAACAGG